AUUGAACGCUGGCGGCAUGCCUUACACAUGCAAGUCGAACGGUAACAGGUCUUCGGAUGCUGACGAGUGGCGAACGGGUGAGUAAUACAUCGGAACGUGCCCGAUCGUGGGGGAUAACGGAGCGAAAGCUUUGCUAAUACCGCAUACGAUCUACGGAUGAAAGCAGGGGACCGCAAGGCCUUGCGCGGACGGAGCGGCCGAUGGCAGAUUAGGUAGUUGGUGGGAUAAAAGCUUACCAAGCCGACGAUCUGUAGCUGGUCUGAGAGGACGACCAGCCACACUGGGACUGAGACACGGCCCAGACUCCUACGGGAGGCAGCAGUGGGGAAUUUUGGACAAUGGGCGCAAGCCUGAUCCAGCCAUGCCGCGUGCAGGAUGAAGGCCUCGGUUGUAACUGCUUUGUACGACGAAAGAACUACUCUAAUAAAGGGUACGAUGACGGUACGUAACGAAUAAGACACCGGCUAACUACGUGCCAGCAGCCGCGGUAAAAGU
rnacentral:rRNA from 1 species